CUCCAGACUCCUACGGGAGGCAGCAGUGGGGGAUAUUGGACAAUGGGGGGAACCCUGAUCCAGCGAUGCCGCGUGAGGGAAGAAGGUUUUCGGAUUGUAAACCUCUGUGGACAGGGACGAUAAUGACGGUACCUGUCAAGAAAGCCACGGCUAACUACGUGCCAGCAGCCGCGGUAAUACGUAGGUGGCAAGCGUUGUCCGGAUUUACUGGGUGUAAAGGGCGUGCAGCCGGAGAGACAAGUCAGAUGUGAAAUCCACGGGCUCAACCCGUGAACUGCAUUUGAAACUGUUUCCCUUGAGUGUCGGAGAGGUAAGCGGAAUUCCUAGUGUAGCGGUGAAAUGCGUAGAUAUUAGGAGGAACACCAGUGGCGAAGGCGGCUUACUGGACUGUAACUGACACUGAGGCACGAAAGCGUGGGGAGCAAGCAGGAUUAGAUACCCGGGUAU
rnacentral:rRNA from 1 species